CAACAACACCACUAAACCCUAUUCAUUUAUUUUGGCAAAUUAUUGGCGCAGACUUGAUAUGGCUGAUGAAGCUCUGGAUUUGCUACUGCAAACCUUACUCCAAAUCUAUAAACGCGAUGAUGACGAUGAACUGACCAUCCGUCGUGUAAAACAUCUAAUUUUAUGCAUCCGCGACAAAGCUGCUGUUUUGCAGUCUCUCCAACAUUUCCCAGAAAAUGAAAGAAUGAGGGAGGUAGCAAGUACAACACAAGAGAUCAUUCAAUAUCUUUUCUCCCCACAAUCUGUAUGAUUGUAGAUCCGUAGACCCAACUGUCAGACUUUCCAAUCAGUUGACGGAAUUGGAAGAGGAGCUCGACUCAACUGUCGAAGAUGUGGUUGACUACAUACGGCAACACAGUGAUUCCAGUUCUUCAUCAGUAUCUGCACUCGAGAGUGAAGUUGUGGAUCCAGUGGUUGCAACGGAGCUGAUUGUCGUAAAUUUAAAACGGUUGAGGAGAUUAGCCGAGAAAAUAGAGUCAAGUGAGAGAGAAUUAGCAGAUGAAGAUCCGAGUGAUACACCUCCACUCAUGAACAAAGAUGUUGCGGUUGAUUUUGCUGACGAUCUGAGUAACUCUACUGCUGCUACAUCUGCAUCUACAACCAAAUAUUUUGUGGCUGACUUUGCUAAAGAUCCGAGCAAAGAUGAUGUGGUUGUAGUUGGUUUUGAUGAAGAUAUACCACACAUGAUGGACCGACUAACUGACUGUUCAUCCUAUUCCUACCUAGAAAUCCUCCCUAUUGUCGGAAUGGGAGGCAUUGGUAAGUCCACACUUGCUAAAUCUAUUUAUCAUAAUCCAUUGAUCAUGGAGCAUUUUGAUAUUCGAGCUUGGGUCACAAUAUCACAAGGUUAUAGUGUAGAAAGUAUUCUCUCUCAAUUACUAGCUUCGCUCAAACGAAAAGUAGAUCGAGUUGGAAGGGAUUCAAUGAAAGUAAUCGAAGCAGAGAAGAUUGCAAUUUACAAAAUCUUAUCAGGGAGGAGGUAUCUCAUAGUAAUCGAGCCUAUUUCCUCACGAUAAUAAUGGGAGCCGGGUCAUAUUAACUAAAAGGCUAAUGGAUGUGGCGACUUAUGUUGCCACUCCAUGGAACAUUCAUAUGAUGUGUUUCUUGGAUGACGAACAAAGUUGGCGUCUGUUCAAUCACAAGGUCUUCGGAGAUCAAGAUUGUCCUCAUGAGCUACGUAGUGUUGGGGAAAAAAUUAGUAAAAGGAUGUGGAGGACUGCCCCUCUCAAUUGUUAAUGUGGCAGAACUUUUAUCCACGAUUCCUAGAACUCCAGACUCGUGGAAACAAAUUGAGGGAAAUGAUGGGCAGUUGGGAUCAAUAUUAUCUUUGAGUUACAACCACUUGCCUCCACAUUUGAGGGAGUGUUUCUUGUAUAUGGCAGCCUUCCCUGAAAAUUAUGAGAUCCGUGUCUCUGAACUCAUCAGACUUUGGGUAGCUGAGGGCUUUUUGAAACGUCAAAAUGAAUCUAAAAGCAUAGAAAUGACGGCAGAGGAGUGCCUGGAGGAUCUGAUCAAGCAAAGUCUAGUUUUGGUCACUAGCCGGAAAAAUGAUGGCAGAACCAAAACUUGCAGGCUGCAUAGUAUGGUACGGGACUUUUGUGUGAGACAAGCCGGGGAAGAGAAGUUCCUUCUUCCUGUUAUGGACUACUUCCCUACUCCUAUCUUAAGAAAACAUUUUCUUCCACAAGUCCUCCAAAAUCAUCCACGCACAAGUGUUAGUUGGCAUGAUCUACGUCCUUAGAGAAUCUACGCAUAGCUCAUGUACCACUUCUAUCAUAUGCAUCCCUCAAAGAGGGUAUAGACCCAAAUGCUCUGUACAAAACUUUACGUCACUUAGGGUCCUUCAUGUUUUACGUAGAGAUGAUCGUUCGUAUUGGGAACUAGGUCAGGUUUUUGAAUUGAUUCAUCUCACUUACCUUGCUUCCAACAUUCCCGAUAGUAUUGUCCCUCCAGCUAUAGCAAAGCUUCGAAAUCUGCAAACUUUAAUAAUUUAUACAUAUGGGGUUUAUUUGCCAGUGGAGAUUUGGAAGCUAAGGCAAUUAAGACAUCUUAUCGCCUUCUCAUUCCGUCCUUUACUCCUUCUUGAAAGAGUAAAUCCUCUAAAAAGCUUACAAACGCUUUCUGUGGCAACAGAUUUUGUAUGUAGUGGAAGGAUGGUGCAAAUGAUCCCAAAUAUAAAUAAGUUGGGAAUAUGCUACUCUGAAGAGAAGUUUAAUGCUGGCUAUCAUGUUGACUAUCUUAUAAAUUUGGUUCGACUUGAGAAGCUGAAAUUGGAGAAGCAUAGUUCAGUUUUGCCUCGUCCGAAUUUUGUUUUUCUUCGGUCGCUGAAAAAGUUAGAACUGAGUGGCAGGUGGAUUUCCUGGAGUCAUAUGACGACUGUUGGUUCGUUUCCUAAUCUUCAAGUGCUGAAACUAAAGAAAUAUCCUUGCUACGGUUAACACUGGGAAACCAUUGACGAGGAAUUUGUUAAUUUGAUACAUCUGCUUAUUGAUGAAUCAAAUCUCAAGUGUUGGACAACUGAUAGUGACCACUUUCCAAUGCUCCAGUGCCUAACGCUUCAUCGUUGUCCGUACUUGGAUGAGAUUCCAUUUGAUAUUGGAGAGAUUCCAACACUUGAAUUGAUUGAGAUCGACAAUCAUAACCAAUCCCUUUUGUACUCGGCAAAAAAAUACAAGAGGAACAAUGGGGACAUUGGGGAAAAGAAGGCCUAAAAGUUGUUGUGAAGCGAUCUUGAUUGUGUGUGCUUGACAUCAGAUGCAGAGCUUUGAUGAGGUAGCUUAUCAGAUAUUACACUGAUGAAAGAGGCAGAUAAUUAGUUUGUUUGUUUGUUUGUUUACCUAUUCUUUCUUGUCUAACAUUAAAUUUCAAGUAGGCUUUGCUUUCUAUGUUUCUUGAUUUUUCACCCUUAUCUUUGGCUACGGGAUAGUAUGGAAUUGCUACUUUGAAGGCUUCAAAGGACGCUGAUGUCCGGUUCGGCCGGUUUUCAAGAGCAUGGCAAGCCCAGUUGGGUUUGAGCCUACCUGGUUUGUCUGUUUAUCAGUUUGGGAAGAAGAAUAACUAAUUAUCUUCUUUUUGUUUGUUUGAAUACUCUAUUGGAUUAUAACAUGCAUUGUUGUGUUUUGUAGGAUCUUCUUCCCCUUAAUAAUAAACUUUUGAUAAACUACUACCAAUUUUA